CUUCAGAUAGAACUGAAAAAUAAAAGUGUCUGGUGGUAGGCAAUCCAGAGCUGGCAUGGUGGCUCUGCAAUUAACAAGGACUUAUGCUUCUUUUUGCUUCACCAUCCUAGCGUGCAGCUUCCAUCCUCAUGGUCAUCUCAUGGUCUAAUAUGGCUUCUAGAGCUUAAUUCAUCUCAUCUGCAUUCCAGAUAGCAGACAGAAGGAAGGAAAGAUGAUUAGGGGGAGAGAGAGCAGCACAGAAGGACGCUUUCUAGUUAACUCUUUAAAGGGCCUUCUUGGAAGUCCAGGACAAUACUUCCAACACUUCUGUUUAUGUUCUCUUGGCCAGAACUUAGUCAACUGGCCAUAUCCAGCUUUAAGGGAGACUUGGAGUUUUGUGGUUUUUUUGUUUAACUUAAAAAAUAUCUUGAUACGUAAUUCGCAAACAGUGAAAUGCACAGAUUGUAAGUAUACAGUUUGAUAAGUUCUGACAAAUGCAUACACCCAUGUAACCCACAUCCUUCUGAAAAUAUAGAGCAUUUCAUCACCCCUAGAAAUUCCCUCCUGCUGAGGGGACUUUUUUUUUUUAAACAAUACAAAUGAGAGAUAAUGAAGGCUUCUUAUCCUGAGGUGGGAGGGUUGUAGCUAUGGGAAUGGAAGGGAAGAGCUGGAGAGACUUUGGAAGGAGAAUCCAGAGUAGACCCGUUGGAUGUGGGAGAUGAGAGAAGAACGAAUGCUGGUAGCAGAGCCACUAACAGAAACAGGAGAUAGGGAGGAAGUCUAGGUUGUUGCAGGUGGAUUGGAAGAAUGAGUACAGUUAAGACUGUUGGCUGGGCGCAUUGGCUCACGCCUGUAAUCCCAGCACUUCGGGAUGCUGAGGCUGGCGGAUCACGAGGUCAGCAGUUUGAGAGCAGUCUGGCCAACAUGGCGAAACCCCAUCUCUACUAAAAAUACAAAAAUUAGCCAGGCGUGGUGGUGGGUGCCUAUAAUCCCAGCUACUCGGGAGGCUGAGAGAAAAGAAUCGCUUGAACCCGGGAGGUGGAGGUUGCAGUGAGCCAAGAUCGUGCCAUUGCACUCCAGCCUGGGCGACAAGAGUGAAACUCCGUCUCAACAAACAACAACAACAAAAACUUUUAAAAAGUGGGCUGGGCGUGGUGGCUCAUACCUGUAAUCCCAGCACUUUGGAAGGCCGAGGUGGGUGGAUCACUUGAGGUUGGGAAUUCGAGACCAGCCUGACAGACAUGGAGAAACCCUGUCUUUACUAAAAAUUCAAAAUCAGCUGGGCAUGGUGGCGCAUGCCUGUAGUCCCAGCUACUCGGGAGCAGAGGUUGCGGUGAGCCAAGAUCGCGC
rnacentral:lncRNA from 10 species